GUUUACUGGUAAACUGUUGCAGGCCAGCUGACAGUCUUGCCUGGGCCCGGGACGAGAUAAUCUUAGAUGGGCACCCCCCCUUGCUCUUCCUCUCCUCUUCCUCUCCUCUGAUCUUCCUCUCCUGUUCCUCUUCGCUUCCUCACCUCUCAUCUCUCGCUGUGCUUGCUGAAAUUAAGCAUGUGAUCAAUCUCUGAUCCAUCCUGCUCAGACUCUCCGACGGGGGGGGCAGCAUCUCUCUCUCUCUCUC